rnacentral:rRNA from 1 species
CUACGGGCGGCUCCAGUGGGGAAUAUUGCACAAUGGAGGGAACUCUGAUGCAGCAACGCCGCGUGGAGGAUGACACUUUUCGGAGCGUAAACUCCUUUUAUAUAGGAAGAAGAUGACGGUACUAUAUGAAUAAGCGCCGGCUAACUCCGUGCCAGCAGCCGCGGUAAUACGGAGGGCGCAAGCGUUACUCGGAAUCACUGGGCGUAAAGAGCGUGUAGGCGGAUUAAAAAGUCAGAAGUGAAAUCCUAUAGCUUAACUAUAGAACUGCUUCUGAAACUCUUAAUCUAGAAUAUGGGAGAGGUAGAUGGAAUUUCUGGUGUAGGGGUAAAAUCCGUAGAGAUCAGAAGGAAUACCGAUUGCGAAGGCGAUCUACUAGAACAUUAUUGACGCUGAGACGCGAAAGCGUGGGGAGCGAACAGGAUUAGAUACCCCGGUAGUC